rnacentral:rRNA from 1 species
AACGAAUGCUGGCGGCAGGCCUUACACAUGCAAGUCGAACGUGAAAGUCCUUCGGGAUGAGUAAAGUGGCGCACGGGUGAGUAACGCGUGGGAACAUGCCCUUCAGUACGGGAUAACAGCGGGAAACUGCUGCUAAUACCGUAUAUUCCCUACGGGGGAAAGAUUUAUCGCUGAAGGAUUGGCCCGCGUUAGAUUAGCUAGUUGGUGAGGUAAUGGCUCACCAAGGCUACGAUCUAUAGCCGGUCUGAGAGGACGAUCGGCCACACUGGAACUGAGACACGGUCCAGACUCCUACGGGAGGCAGCAGUGGGGAAUAUUGGACAAUGGGCGAAAGCCUGAUCCAGCCAUGCCGCGUGAGUGAUGAAGGCCUUAGGGUUGUAAAGCUCUUUUGGCGGGGAAGAUAAUGACGGUACCCGCAGAAUAAGCCCCGGCAAACUUCGUGCCAGCCGCCGCCGUAA